GUGCCAGGCAGCCGCAGUAAUACGUAGGUCCCAAGCGUUGUCCGGAUUUAUUGGGCGUAAAGCGAGCGCAGGUGGUUUCUUAAGUCUGAUGUAAAAGGCAGUGGCUCAACCAUUGUGUGCAUUGGAAACUGGGAGACUUGAGUGCAGGAGAGGAGAGUGGAAUUCCAUGUGUAGCGGUGAAAUGCGUAGAUAUAUGGAGGAACACCGGAGGCGAAAGUGGCUCUCUGGCCUGUAACUGACACUGAGGCUCGAAAGCGUGGGGAGCAAACAGGAUUAGAAACCCUAGUAGUCC
rnacentral:rRNA from 1 species